rnacentral:lncRNA from 1 species
GUAAGUAAUUGUUCACUGUUGUUCCCGAACAAUGUCUGAUGUUUACUCUCUUUUUGUAUCUGCAUAAGACGAAACUGGCUAACGGUAUUGGUGAACUCCCUCAACAAAAACUCUGUCGAAACCUGACAGUGAAAUGCUUUUACAAAAGUGAUGGCAAAAAUAAAGAAUUCUGCGCAAAAUUUGUCAUCGGUAAGAGAAAACGUGAUGCUUGUAACACUAUUAACUAAGACCUUACUAUUUUGCCACCUGUUGCUUCAUAAUAGCUUCAUACUUGUCAACAGAUCACUCAUCUUCUGCUUCCUCUUUAUUAGACCCAGGAAAACGUAAGCUGAUGUGUUUCUUCUAGUGUGUAUGUGUGUGUGUGUGUGUGUGUGUGUGUGUGUGUGUGUGUGUGUGUGUGUGUGUGUGUGUGUGUGUGUGUGUGUGGCUGUGUCUGUGUGUGUGUGUGUGUGUGUGUGUGUGUGUGUGUGUGUGUGUGUGUGUGUGUGUGUGUGUGUGUGUGUGUGUGUGUGUGGCUGUGUCUGUGUGUGUGUGUGUGUGUUUGUGCACUAAACUGAUCUCAUAUCUGCAAUAGCUAAACAACAGUUAAACAACACAAGUGAACAGACUGACGUGGACUCAGUGAAAAGUAAGCUGUUUAUACUGUUUAUACGCAAUGCUGUUCAUACACAAUGUGUGUAUGUAUACUGACCAUUGUCAUUGAACUGAUCUCUUAACUUAAACAGAUGAACCAUCACCCAUGGAUCAAAGUACCCAGCCAGGUGAUGUUUUUUUCCCCUUUCUUUUGGACGUUUCCAUGACAUCAGGUUCCAUUACAUUAUCUAGUUGUGUCACCGUCAAGUGUCGAACAGUGAGAGAUUUCAUGUCAUAUUCAAUGAUGCCAUACAUGUAGCUGAGGCUAUUUUUUGAAGUUGCUAUGUACCCAUCAGUGGCGUUUUGGAUUACUGUUGUUGGGCCGGUGGUGGCGGUGGCGGUGGUGUUGGCGGUGGUGGGCGCAGCGUGGUGGUGUGUACGAAAAAAGAAACCGAUGCCAACCCAGAACCAAGGACUGGAGUUAACUGAAAUGAACAGACCCGACGAUGGUGAUCAGACACCAUCAGGACAUGGGGACACGACUGAAGACGGGGCUCUCCCUGAGAAGACAACUGAGAAACCGAAGAGCAAUCACUGUUACGUGGAACUGAUGAGACGGAAAACCUGCUGGAAUGGAGAUUGUAAAGAUUGAGGGCGAGGUAUAGCCUGGGUAUACCCAUUUCAUUUUGCCCUGCUAGGCAGCCUGGAUUCCAUGGAUCCGAUGUUCGCUUCAGGGAGGGAACCAGGGCGAGGGGACAGCUAGACGAUGACGACGUCUUUGCCACACUCCAAAGCUUGUACUUUGUUCAUAUCUAUGGAUCCAACAUGGUUGCAGAUGCAAAGUUGCCUUUCGAUGCAGCCUUAGAUAGUGUUCUAAGUAGUUAAGAACGCAAGAUGGUUUAAUUGAUACGAUGGUUUAAUUGAUACGAUUGGCUAUGAGCUACGUACAAACGCAUUUGAUAGACAUUCGUAAACACUCUGGGCAUUCGUAAACCACGCCUUAAAUACGAGAAAAUUAAUGUGUGGUUCCCAGACCAAAUCUCAAUGUAGAUUGAGGUGAGGUCUGGUGUUAGCCAGGAUUGUUGAAGUAUGCAAUUAUAUGAAAAUAGUACAAUGGUAUAGGAGAGACUUAUAUUCACAUGAGAAAGAUAUUUAGCUUUCUAAGUUUAGAUUUAGCUUUCUGCUAAAUCUUAAGUACAUUGCACUUUCUAUAAUGCAUUCUUCAAGAUUUGCAUGUAAAUUAAAAAAAUAUGUAUUAUAAAGUUAAUGAGGGCUGGCAAAUGUCCAGUUGGAAAGUUGUAAAUAUAUACAAAGGAACUCAAACAAUUUGAGGGAGGGUGGGGGCUUGCAACAGUGAGAGACCAUGUUAGGAGUUACUCAAUCUUUGGGGUGGGAUGGGACAUUUUUGCGUAGGUAGAGCUUUCAGAAAUUACUGUGCAGGGUUUCAUUUCUGUUUACAUUGAAACACCUUCUUCAUGAAAUGCAUUCAGAGAUGGAAUUGCUGUUUGAACUUUGCUUACUGUGACUUGUGAGAGUCAGCCCACAGUGUGAAGUCUUACAGCCUGCCGUCUGAUACAGCCUUUUGUAUUUCUAUUUAUUUUAGAGGAGCUCUGGUAGUCUAGUUUUCCCAGCUUUAUUUUGUAGUUUAGUCUUGAUGUUGUUUUGGUAGUUUAAGAGCUACUGCUGGGUCCUACGGCCUACAGCGGUUGGCCCAGUAGUUCAUCCAACUUUUUGUUCUGUUUCAACCCAUGCACACGCUCUCACGCCACACUUCGUGCUCUUUCCUACAUUAUCAAUUGCUUAUGUCUAGAGCUGUCAGUUAAACGCGUUAUUAACGGCGUUAAUGCAAACCAAAUUUAACGGCGUUACAUUUUUUAUCGCGCGAUUAACGCAAUUAUUUUAUAAAAAAAAAAAAAAAAAACUUUUUUUUUUUUGUUUUUUCUUUGGCUCAAAACAAAGAAGCAGUAGCCUGACUGCUAUGUUCAAAUGACAUUUGUUCAAAGCAGUCGUUUAAUUGCACUAUAGGCUCUUUUUUUGUAUCGUCCUGUUUUGAUCAGUGUAUAUGCCAAUGUUGUUAUCAAUAAAAAAUCAUUUGCACAAGGCAAGCCGAUGCACUUCACCAUGUUGAUAAGAGAAUUAAAAUGAGAAGAAUUAUGGGACAAAAAAAUCAAGGGAUAUUUAGCAUAGAAAAAUAAUUUGCGAUUAAUCGCGAUUAAUUAGAGUUAACUAUGACAUUAAUGCGAUUAAUCACGAUUAAAUAUUUUAAUCGCUUGACAUGUUGAUCAAAAUGUAUUGGAAUGGUCUCUAUGGAAUAGUCUCACCCCCACAACAUUUAGG